rnacentral:rRNA from 1 species
UACGUAGGGUGCAAGCGUUAAUCGGAAUUACUGGGCGUAAAGCGUGCGCAGGCGGUUAUGUAAGACAGGUGUGAAAUCCCCGGGCUAACCUGGGAACUGCAUUUGUGACUGCAUCGCUGGAGUGCGGCAGAGGGGGAUGGAAUUCCGCGUGUAGCAGUGAAAUGCGUAGAUAUGCGGAGGAACACCGAUGGCGGAAGGCAAUCCCCUGGGCCUGCACUGACGCUCAUGCACGAAAGCGUGGGGAGCAAACAGG